rnacentral:tRNA from 1 species
GGGUCGUUAGCGAAGUUGGUAUAGCAGUUGAGUGUUAAUCAAUCGCUCGCAGGUGCGACUCCUUCACGACCCACGA